rnacentral:misc_RNA from 1 species
UUUCCGUAGGUGAACCUGCGGAAGGAUCAUUAAAAAAUGUGGUACCAAUUAUUGGUACUAAUUAAUCAUCCUACCCUUUGUGAAUUUGUUUGUAUGAAUUUUUUUAAAUGGGUCUUUCCCUAAGUUGGAUUGUUAGUAAAAUACAAAAAAGACUUAGGGGAAUGACUUUUUUAAAAGACUUUUUUUUUAAUUAGAACUUUUUGUAUAUUCAUUUGUCUAAAAUUUAUUUUUAUAAUAUAAAAACAACUUUUGACAAUGGAUCUCUUGGUUCUCGCAACGAUGAAGAACGCAGCAAAAUGCGAUAAGUAGUGUGAAUUGCAGAAUACGUGAAUCAUCGAAUCUUCGAACGCAUAUUGCACUUUUUUAGUUUACUAAAAAAGUAUGUCUGUUUGAAUAUCAGUAAAAUAUUCUCACAAACAUAUAUUGUUUGUGGUUAUGAGUGUUUUACAACGAUAAACAAGUUGUUUCACUUUAAAUUCUUUUUAAUUGAAUUUUUACCAAUUCAUAAAUUAAAAUUGGAUAAAAUUUUCCUUUAACGAGGAAUAACCUAAACAAUUUUAAAUUUUAUGGAUUAAUAAACAUUCAUCAAAGGAAUCUAAUUAUACAUAAAUAACUUGAUCUCAAAUCAGAUAAGAGUACCCGCUGAACUUAAGCAUAUCAAUAAGCGGAGGAAAAGAAACUAACAAGGAUUCCCUUAGUAACGGCGAGUGAAGCGGGAAGAGCUCAAAUUUGAAAUCUUCAAGGUUUGACCUUGACGAAUUGUAGUUUAUAGAAGUGUUUUCUGUUGGAGUUUUGGUAAAAGUUCUUUGGAAUAGGACAUCAUAGAGGGUGAGAAUCCCGUAUUUGACCAUGACUUUCCAGCUGUGUGAUACACUUUCAAAGAGUCGGAUUGUUUGGGAAUGCAGUCCAAAAUGGGUGGUAAAUUUCAUCUAAAGCUAAAUAUUGGCGAGAGACCGAUAGCGAACAAGUACCGUGAGGGAAAGAUGAAAAGAACUUGAAAAGAGAGUUAAACAGUACGUGAAAUUGUCAAAAGGGAAGCGUUUGACACCAGUGUUGUUUUCUCGAAAAUCAAUUUAAUGAGUUCUUGUUUUUAAGUUAUUGUGACUUUAUCAGCGCAUUUCUUAUUUUACUUGACUCAUUGAUGCACUUUUCGUUUAACAAGUCAACAUCAAUUUCUUUGGUGGUAAAAAGUUUAAAGGAAGGUGGCUUGGACUUCGGUUCAAGUGUUUAUAGCCUUUUUUCUAUGCCAUCGGAGAGAUUGAGGUCUGCAGCGUAGAUCCUUCGGGGUUAGAUACCUUUGUGCUAAGUUAUAGUUUUUUAUAGACAACUUGUUGACUAUAAUUAACCCUGUAAUUUACUCGCUUAGGCUAUUUUACCUACGCUUAGGAUGUUGAG